rnacentral:rRNA from 1 species
CUUUUUAAUCAGUGGUUCACCGAGCAUCCUGAUUACCUUCCAAAUCCUUUCUACGUCGGAGGAGACUCAUCUGGUGGAAAGAUCAUUCCAUUUCUCGCACAGAAGAUCUCAGAAGAUAUUGAAGCUGGAGUGAGGCCGUUAAUUAAUUUUAAGGGCUAUCUGGUCGGCAACCUUGCUACUGGUGAAUACAAUAUCGAUUAUGGAUCGAGAGUGCCAUAUCUUCAUGGAACGAGCAUAAUUUCAUAUCAGUUGUAUGAGAUGAUAAUGGAGCACUGCCAAGGGGAAGAUUAUAGCAACCCCAAGAAUGCGCUCUGCGCUCAAGCUUUGGAUAGGUCCAACCAACUGUGGAAUGAAAUUUCACAUCCACACAUUUUGUAUAAAAAGUGUGUCUAUGCAUCUCCCGGACCAAACGACGAGAGUACAUAAAGAAAGAUCCUAAAGGAGGAAGUAGGAAUACUUAAGCAUCCACCUCCUCGUCCUCCAAUGGGUUGCCAAACCUAUGGUAAUUACCUAUCAUAUUUUUGGGCUAACAACAACAUCACUAGGAAAGCCCUUGGGAUCAAGAAGGGGAGCAAGGACGAAUGGGUGAGGUGCCACGAACGAGAUUUACCUUAUUCUUUAGAGAUCAAGAGCACAAUAAAGUACCAUCAUAACAUGACCUUAAAAGGUUAUCGUGCACUUGUAUAUAGUGGAGACCAUGAUGCUAUUAUACCAUUUCUCGGUACACAGUCUUGGGUGCGAUCACUCAAUUUCCCCAUUGUGGAUGAGUGGAGGGCUUGGCAUCUAGAUGGACAGUCCGCUGGAUUCACCAUAACAUACACAAACAACUUGACAUUUGCUACGGUAAAGAACGGUGGACACACUGCACCAGAGUUCGAACCAGAGAGAUGCCUCGCUAUGUUCGCGCGUUGGGUUUCCCAUGAGUCGCUCUGA